ensembl:lncRNA
UCAUUAUAGUACAUCUACAAGUGGAACUGUUCACACAGAACAUCCACUGAAUGCUAGAAGAAGACCUCAGACUUCCAAAAGGGCAAGAAAACCUCCAAAAAAUCAGGGUGAAGAAGUUGGACUGUGGUAACAGAGGAUGUACUCAGAAAAAUCCUGGGCCCACAAGAAACGCAGGGUGCCAUUACUGGGGGCUGCACAAGGAGAGGGGCAGCACCACCAUAAAAGCUUCUCUCCCUGUGAGCACUUUUGGGUAAAAACAAUACCAUUUACAGGGCUUCCCUGGUGGCUCUGCAAUAAGGAAUCUGCCUACCAAUUCAGGAGAUGUGGGUUCUAUCCCUGGGUUGGGAAGAUCCCCUGGAGAAGGAUAUAGCAACCCACUCCAGGAUUCUUGCCAAGGAAAUCCCAUGGACAGAAGAGCAUGACAGGCUACAAUGGGGUCACAAAACAGUGGGACCUACUGAGUGACUAAACAACAGGAGCUCUGGGGGUGGCAGGGAACGAGUCUGUGCCACUAAAAAAUCCAAGCGCCAAAUGCUGCCCCUGCCAUCCCAGGAGCACACAAGGGUCUCUGCACCUGCAUGACACACUGAGGAAAGAGGCAGUAAGCACCCAAACUCCAGUCAGCCCCUUGAUUCUGGACAAGAUCGCAGAGUAAGACAAGCUUACUUCCUCUUACAAAAACACCAAGAUCACAAGUAAUUGCUGAGCAACCACUGAUAGAGAAGAUUGGAAGCUACCAAAACAGAUAUUCUACAUCCAAAGACAAAGAAAAUGUCACAAGGAAAUGGUAAGAGGGGAUUAUAUGUGAUAUAAUCAAAUCUCAUACCCACCAGGUGGGUGACCCACAAACUGGAAAAUAAUUAUGGUGCAGAGAUUCUCACACGAGCAUGAAAGCUCUGAGCCCCAGGUCAGGCUGCCCAGCCUGGCAGCCUGGUAUUAAGAGGAGGAGUCCCUCAGAGCAGUUGGGCUUUAGUGCAGAACUCCACAGAACUGGGGGAAACAGAGAUUCUACUCUUCGGCAUACACAAGGCCUUCUCCAGGGGGAAAAGCAGAGACUUCAAAAUAUACAAACAGCUCAUGCAGUUCUAGGCAAAAAACACAAACCACCCUAUCAAAAAAUGGGCAGAAGGCCUAAACAGACAUUUCUCCAAAGAAGACAUACAGGUGGCCACAAAGCACAUGGAACGGUAUUCAACACUGCUGUGUAUUAGAGAAAUGCAAAUCAAAACUAUAAUGAAGUAUCACCUCACACCAGUCAGAAUGGACAUCGUCAAAAACAUCUACAGACAAUAAAUGCUGGAGAGGAUGUGGAG